rnacentral:tRNA from 1 species
GCGACCGUAGCUCAGUGGUAGAGCGCUAGAUUGUGGCUCUGGAUGUCGGGAGUUCGAUCCUCCUCGGUCGCCCCA